rnacentral:lncRNA from 1 species
CUUAAGUAGUAGGAACUCUCUUGGGCCCAUGUGUCAGUUGUGUGCCCUUAGUUUCUACAUAAUUGGAGCAAAUUCGGAUAAAAAAAUUCAGAAUGGAAAUUACAUCCGAGCCAAUUAGUUCCUCAUCGUUAUGCAGAGACCACUGGCAUUUCAAAGAGCACAGCUGUUCUCCACUCACAGGAUUAGAAAGUCUGUCGGUUCUGUAUAAGCACUGGUUGCUGUGGAGACGGGCCUGGAUGAAGCAGAUCUCCAGAUCCCAGCAGAUGCAGCGGGCUCGGGCGUGGAGGGAGCAGAGGCUGCGUAUCAGGACCUGGACUAUGUGGCUGUGUGUUUGGAAGAAAAGACAGCAAACCAGACACCUGCACAGGUACAACCAGCCCAUUUACCUACUGGAACAUCUGCAUUAACGUCCAUAAAUAUUAUUAGGAUG